GCCCAGCUAGUUUAGUCAGUAGAGCAUGAGACUCUUAAUCUCAGGGUUGUGGGUUCUAGCCCCACGUUGGGCG
rfam:Opisthocomus hoazin contig3854, whole genome shotgun sequence.